CUACAGAACCCAGCAUGAAGACUUUCAAGAAAGUCUUCACCCUUGCAAACCUCCCACUUUUGAGUUUCAUUAUAUGCAUUGCUAACUAUCAACUAAACCUCCAUUCUAAAGUGGGUGCCAGUGAAAACCAGGUGCAAUGGGUUGCAAAUUCCAAGUUCGUUUCUUUCCUGUUAUUUUAUCACUGUUAGCGAUUUCUCUUUCUGUUUCUGGUUCGGGUUCUGGUUCUGGUUCGGGUUCUGGUUCUGGUUCUGGUUCUUGCUCUGGCUUUGCUUUAGAUACCAUCUCUAUAGACAAAUCUCUUAAACGAAACCAAACCGUAGUCUCUAAAGGUGGUGUCUUUGAACUCAGCCCAGAUAAGUUGCAAUCCUGGUAUAUAGGCAUCUGGUACAAAGAAAUUCAUGUCCAAACUGUUGUAUGGGUAGCUAACCGUGAAACACCAUUGCCGGACACCUCAUCUGAACUCAAAAUUUCAGGGAAUGGAAACUUAGUCCUCUUGAACAAAACCCAAGUCCCAAUUUGGUCCACCGAUUUGAGUUCCACAUCUGGAGCUGCAAAUUCCUCCUCUGCUGUUUUAUUAGACAAUGGGAAUCUGGUUCUAAAGGAGGCUGGAUCUUCAAGAGUUAUGUGGCAGAGUUUUGAUCAUCCCACGGAUACAUGGUUACCAGGAGGAAAGAUGGGAUUGAACAAGAAGACUAGGCAAAACCAAUUGCUCAAAUCUUGGAGGAAUUCAGAGGACCCAUCACCUGGGCUCUUCUCCCUCGGACUCGACCCGAAUGGAACUAAACAGUAUCUUGCAUAUUGGAAUGGAAGCAAAAGGUAUUGGAGUUCUGGGGAGUGGGAUGGGCACAUCUUCAGUGCAGUCCCAGAGAUGAGAUUGAAUUACAUUUACAAUUUCAGCUUCAUUGAUAACGAGAAUGAGAGCUACUAUAAUUACUCCUGCUAUGAUAAUACCACCAUCUUACGGUUUGUGAUGGAUGUAACUGGGCUGAUCCGGCAGUAUUCGUUGAAUGAGCAGAAACAAACGUGGAACCUAUUUGUGUCACUGCCUAGAGACCCCUGUGAUAUCUAUGCCAUUUGUGGACCCUUCGCAAGCUGCAGCCAAAAAUUACCCUUUUGCAGCUGCAUCCCUGGUUUUGAACCCAAGUUUCCUCAUAAAUGGAAUUUGGGUGAGUGGUUUGGAGGGUGUGUUAGAAAGACCAAGUCGCAGUGUGGCUUCCGCAAUGGCGAGAGAGAUGGGUUUUGGCCAAUUAAUACAACAGAAGUAUGGGAAAAAUCGAUUCCAUCGACAGUUGUGGAUACCAAAGAUUGUGAGGCUUGGUGUUUGGCAAACUGUUCUUGCACUGCUUAUGCACAGAAUUCUGGCAGUGACACUUGCUACACAUAUACUGGAGAUAUUCUGAAUCUAAAAGAAGAGGAGACAACAUACAAGCUUUACAUUCGGGCUGCUUCUUCUGAUCUGUUUCCUAAUUCUAGUAGAAACGAGAACAAAAAAUUACUAAAGAUCAUAGCUGUGUGCUCUGUUACAGGCUUGUUAAUCAUCGUGGGUGUUAUUCUUUGGACUCUGUGGAUGAAACUUGCUCCAAGAAGGACCGAGAUGGACGGGUCACUAAUGAUAUUCAAUUACAAAGAUUUGAAAAGUGCAACUAAGAACUUCUCGCAGAAAAUUGGAGGUGGGAGUUUUGGUUCAGUGUUUAUAGGCUAUCUGAGUGAUGGGACGCAUGUUGCCAUUAAGAAGCUAGAGGGACAUAGUCAAGGAGAGAAGCAAUUCAGAGCAGAGGUGUCCACCAUCGGAACAAUACAACACAUCAACUUGAUCCAACUACGAGGAUUCUGCUCACAAGGAUCUAGGAGAUUAUUGGUGUAUGAAUAUAUGUCCAAUAGUUCCUUGAAUUUUCAUUUAUUUCAAGAAGGUGCUGACUGUUUGAGCUGGAAAAUAAGAUACAAUAUCGCACUUGGAAUCGCUAGAGGGAUUGCUUAUUUACAUGGAAAGUGCAAAGACCGCAUAAUGCAUUGUGACAUCAAGCCGGAAAACAUACUCUUGGACCAUGACUUCAGCCCAAAGUUGACGGAUUUUGGGUUAGCAAAGCUAAUGAGUCGGGAAUUCAGUCGUGUUUUAACUACCAUGAGGGGAAGCAAAGGGUAUCUAGCACCAGAGUGGCUUUCUGGUAAGGCCAUAACUGUCAAAGCAGAUGUAUAUAGUUAUGGUAUGACAUUGUUAGAACUCAUCUCAGGUAGGAGAAAUGCAGAUUGGGAAAGGGGUUUCUUCUUCCCUGCUGAAGUGUUGGUGCAAAUGAUGGAUGGAAAGGACCUGGGAAUGUUGGACCCUAGGCUUAAGGGUGUCGCCGAUGUGGAGGAGGUGGCUCGUGCUUGUAGGGUGGCAGGUUGGUGUGUGCAAGAGGGGGAGGGUUGUAGGCCGUCCAUGGAACAGGUCGUCUGGUUCCUCGAAGGUGUAGUAAACGUGGAGAAGCCUCUGGUAUUGAAGACCCUUGAGGUGUUUGAAGACAACUGAAGGGUAAUUGUAUGAUUACUGGAAGGCGGACCCUUAGAGGUGUUUGAAGACAACUGAAGGGUAAUUGUACGAUUACUGGAAGGCAUAGUAAACAUGGAGAAGCCUCUGGUAUUGAGGACCGUUGAGGUGUUUUGAAGACAACUGAAGUGUAAUUGUAUGUUCAGUUCAUUGAUUCGGAUGUUUUGAGUUGUUGAAGAUGUUACGUGUAAGAAGGCCUAUAUGGUAGAAGGAAAACUAAGACAGCAUCCCUGCGAAAAUGGAGGUGAACAGAUGAUGGACAUCAGUUUAAUUGGUCACCUGAACCUCCAACAGAGUAGCAAGGGACUACUCAAAAUUGCCGCUGAAAACCAGGAGGAAAUACUCGAUGCACUUGUCAUACUUCGAACAAGUGCCAUCACUUCUACGGAAGAUAGCAGGUUCCCCCAUGUGAAGUUGUGGCUGAAACCUGUAUGAGUAUAUACCGGAUGUAUUCAUGAAUUUUAA